AUGUGCAACAAAAUAAAACCCUAAAAGCCUAGUCAUCAUCUUUUUCCUCCAUUAUUUCUUCUUGACUGAAAAUAUCAGCCAUUGAGAGGUUUCUGAAGCUUGAAUUUUCAGCCAUUUAGUCUCUCCACAAAUCAAGAAAUUCAAAAUUCAAACCUAGAUCGAGGGAAGGCCAAGCAAGUAGAUUAGACCGACGAGUCGCCAUAUUUUGUAAGCCGAGUGCUGCCUAAUUAGCUCAAGGAUCAUUAGACUUUGGAAACAUCAAUCACACUAUCAACUGAAGCACUUGGUAUAGUUGGUUUUACUAUUUGAAUUAUGACAUGUGUAGGGCUUAGACUUUUGAUGUUUGUGUCAUGUUAAAUUGGCCAAAUGUGUUGGCUUAGGAUGAAUCCCUUCAUUUUGUACUAAGCCUUGGCAUAGUGGCUAAUGUUCAUUAUUGAUAUAUGAAAUGAUGAUAUUUUCAUGAA